AAGUCAACAUAUCAUUGCUGCACACGCUAAAAUACAACUCCACUAACCAUUUACUUCGUCAACAAACAACACCAAAAAUGUAAACAAACUAAAAAAAAUAAAAUGAAGAAUCCCAAAAUUGAUUAACCAAAUUUCCUUCUGAAUAAUUGCUCUAUUCGCAUUUUCUCAACUGUGACAAGAAAGAAAAAAGGAAUUAUUUUCUGUGUUUUUUUUUUUUUGGAUUUCAAUUUGCAUUUAAAAAUUAUUUUGGGGAUUAUUGAAAAAGUGAAGAGAGCGUGUGAGAAUAUACUUUAUUUGUAAACCCCAUUUUGGUAUGAUUGUUUUAGUGGAAGAAGAAAGUUGAAAAAAAAAGGUGCUAUUUCUUUGAAUUUAGUACUCAUAAUUUUCUUUGCACAUCUGGUUUUUAAGUCAAACGGCUCAAACUUUAUACAUGAGUUUCUGAUAAAAGGUUCAAGAACUUAAGUUUUUCUUUAGAUUGAUUCAGGUACUGCUCCAUUCUUGAUCUCAAUUGUUGAGUUGGAAUUUCUUCGAAGCCCCUGUAGUUGAAAAAAAGUGUGCUUUUAGCCCCUAAGUUGAAGAUGAUAGUUAUUUCUGUUAUCUCCUGCAUUAGUUGAUGAAGUAAUCAUCAUUUUGUGCUGACCCUUUUGGAAUUGCAAGCUAGUGGCAUGUGGGUUUCAGCUGAGGAGGAAAUAUUGUCUUAGUUUUAGUUGUUGAAUUUUUACUUGUUUCUGCAAAGUUACAAUUUUUGAGAAAUAUGAUCAAGCAGAUAUUUGGUAAGAAGAACCCUAAGAAGCAGUCGAAGACGGCUGGCUCAACCAGUUCAUCGACUAGUUCAAAGAAAAGUGAUGGAGGAAGUAAAAAGAUUGGGGUAUCAGAUAACAAUACUGUUAUUUCAGCCCCUUAUUCUGUUUCAGCUUCAACGGGGGAUAAAUUUGUCCGAGAUGGGAGUUUAAAGCCCAAUGGGAAUCUCGUUGCACCUUCUUACGAUGCAUUGCCAAGUUUCAAGGAUGUUCCUAUUUCUGAGAAGCACAACUUGUUUAUUAGGAAGCUCAACAUGUGUUGUGUUUUGUUUGAUUUUACUGAUCCUACAAAGAACCUUAAAGAAAAGGAGACCAAGCGACAGACGUUAUUGGAGCUUGUGGAGUACGUAACGUCUGCAAAUGUAAAAUUUACAGAAGUGGUGAUGCAAGCAGAAGUAAAGAUGGUGUCUGUAAAUUUGUUCAGGGAACUCAUGCCCCAGCCUCGAGAGAACAAGACGUUGGCCUUUGAUGUGGAAGAGGACGAACCUGCCAUGGAUCCUUCAUGGCCACAUCUGCAGAUUGUGUAUGAGUUUCUUCUGAGGUUUGUUGCAUCACCCGAAACUGAUGCAAAAGUUGCGAAAAGAUAUAUAGAUCAUUCCUUUGUUCUCAGAUUGCUUGAUCUUUUUGACUCUGAAGAUCCUAGGGAGAGGGAGUACUUGAAAAUAAUACUGCAUCGUGUUUAUGGGAAGUUCAUGGUACACCGACCUUACAUCAGGAAGGCUAUUAAUAACAUAUUUUAUCAUUUCGUUUUUGAGACUGAAAAACAUAAUGGGAUUGCAGAGCUUCUGGAAAUACUGGGCAGCAUAAUUAAUGGGUUUGCUUUGCCUCUAAAAGAAGAACACAAGCUUUUUCUUGUCCGGACAUUGAUUCCCCUGCAUAAACCCAAAUGCUUAGCCAUGUACCAUCAACAGUUAAAUUAUUGCAUGACGCAGUUUGUGGAGAAAGACUGCAAGCUUGCUGAUACAGUUAUUAGGGGGUUGUUAAAGUAUUGGCCAAUAACAAAUAGCUCAAAAGAGGUCAUGUUCCUUGUUGAGUUGGAGGAAAUCUUGGAAGCUACUCAACCAGCAGAUUUCCAAAGGUGUAUGGUGCCGUUGUUUCAACGAAUUGCUCAGUGUUUGACUAGCUUGCAUUUUCAGGACCGUAGUACAGGACAGACGAUUGGCGCAAGACAUGAAUCACAAGGCCUUUACCAUUUUACCUCUUCAAAUUCCUUCAAAGCAUGCUCCGUUACAGACCCCCAAACCUAAUUCACAAACGUUUGGGACAUCCGAGUCUAUCCAAGCUGCAAAAGAUGGUGCCUAGUUUGUCUAGUUUAUCCACAUUAGAUUGUGAGUCAUGUCAACUUGGGAAACACACCCGUGCUACUUUCCCACGUAGUAUUGAGAUUCGUUCAGAGUCUAUUUUCUCAUUUGUACAUUCUGAUGUUUGGGGUCCUAGUAGAGUUGGUUCACCUUUAGGUUUUCGUUAUUUUGUUAGUUUCAUUGAUGAUUUUUCAAGAUGUACUUGGGUUUUCUUAAUGAAAGAUCGUUCUGAGAUAUUUUCUAUAUUCAAAAGUUUUUGUGCUGAAAUAUAAACUCAGUUUGGUGUUUCUAUUCGUACUUUUCGUAGUGACAAUGCCUUAGAAUACUUAUCCUCUCAGUUUCAGGAGCUUAUGACUCAUCAAGGAAUUGUUCACCAGACAUCUUGUCCGUACACCCCUCAGCAGAAUGGUAUAACAGAAAGAAAAAAUAGGCAUCUUCUUAAGACUGCUCGCACUCUUCUCAUUGAAUCCCAUGUUCCGCUACAAUUUUGGGGCGAUGCAGUCCUUUCAUCUUGUUAUCUAAUUAAUAGAAUGCCAUCAUCUUCCCUUCAGAAUAAGGUUCUCCAUUCUAUAUUGUUUCCACAUUCACAUCUCUGCUCUAUCCCCCCUCGUGUCUUUGGGAGCACAUGUUUUGUCCAUAACUUAGCCUUUGGAAAAGAUAAAUUAGCCCCUCGUGCUCUCAAGUUUGUUUUCCUUGGUUACUCUCGAGUUCAAAAAAGGUAUCUUUGUUAUUCACUAGAUCUUCGACGCUACUUUAUGUCUGCCGAUGUCAUUUUUUUUUGAAUCUCGACCUUACUAUUUAUCUUCUGAUCAUCCUGAUAUCUCUGAGAUUUUACCUGUAUCUCCAGUCUUACCCGCACCAUCCUUGGUCUUACCCACAUCUCCAGACUUGCCCGAACUAACCAAGUAAUCAACGGUUACUUCUACGUCUCCUGCUACUGUGCCACCACUUCUGACUUAUCAUUGUCGUUAUCGUCCACCAUUAGUCCCAAAUGAUUUAUGUAAUGCGUCGGACGCUGCUUCUAUUGCGGACUUUCCUUCUUCUAGCCAAUCAGUUGCACUUAAAAAAGGUGGCAGAGAGGGCUUUAUUCUUGUGGAACAGUGAUCAUAUUGAGAAUUUGAUAAAGCAACAUCGAAAGGUGAUACUGCCUAUCAUCUUUCCUGCACUGGAGAGAAAUACCAGAAACCAUUGGAAUCAGGCUGUUCACAGUUUGUCACUGAAUAUUCGAAAGAUAUUCUAUGAUCUUGAUCCUGAGCUAUUCAAGGAGUGCUU